rnacentral:rRNA from 1 species
GACAUCUCCUUAAUCGGAGAGUUCCCUUCGGGGACAUUGGUGACAGGUGGUGCAUGGUUGUCGUCAGCUCGUGUCGUGGGAUGUUGGGUUAAGUCCCGCAACGAGCGCAACCCUUGUCUUUAGUUGCCAUCAUUAAGUUGGGCACUCUAGGGAGACUGCCAGGGAUAACCUGGAGGAAGGUGGGGAUGACGUCAAAUCAUCAUGCC